AAUUGUCACAUGUAACACUCCCAUUGGUAGUUUUUUUCCCCUUCAAUUCUUCCCCUCUUCUUCCUCCUCCCCUGCUCUUCCUUUCCGAUUGACCACCACUGCCAGUAGCUCACACACAAGCUCCAGCGGUGGCAGCCUGACCUUGAGCUUCUUCUCUAUGGCUCGGCCUCGUCCAUCGUCAUCGAUUACCUUCCUCCCGACUUCUCCUUCCCUCUAUCUCUCUUGACACCCGCGGCCCAUUCCUUCCUCCACAACCUUCUCCAUCCCCUCCACAACUUUCCAUAUUUCAUCCACAUCCUCCUACAUUUGUUUCCUUACAUCACACCAUCACUCCACCAACUUCCUCUUUCCUCUGUCAUCCCUUCAGCCGCCUCCUUCCCUCCUCACUGCCUUCCCCAGCUUACGACCUCUACCUCAGCCUCCUUCCCUCCUCACUGGAUGUAAAGCAAUAAGGUUGCCUAAUUUAUCAAACCUGCAGAGGUUAAAGAGCGCUAGAAGUGCAAGGUUAUGAAAAUCUUCUGGAGAUUUCGGGCCUCGAGGAACUGAAGUCCCUGAGAACAUUGAAUGUUUCGGACUGUCCAUGGCUUCAGAACAUUCCGAGUCUUCCAAAUGUAACAGUAACACGUUGAAUGAGAAAGAUCAGUCACUUGAUGAGAGGGAUGGGUGAGGAGGAGACAGUUUUAAUGCAGAUGCUGCCAUGCAUUACCGACUAGAUUCACAUUUGUCGGAUGAUUGGUGAAAGAGAUUGUGUAAGAAUGGGAAGUUUUGGACAUUGCAAAUCACAGAAUGCCGUUCUUCCUGGCCUUGUUGGACUCGCCAUUCUAGCCGGUGUGUUGUUGUACCACUUACCGCGGUACCUUCUCAAGCUCCCUGAGUUCCAUUGCUGCUGCCCAACUUGUUCCCUACUGAGUUGUCGCUGCUCCUCAUGCCCUGACGAACCCCAGCCUCCCUUGUCCUCUGACUCAGCAAUAGAAGUUCAUCCAUGAGGAAGAACACGGAAGAGGAAGAAGAAUAGUGGAAGAGGAAGAGAAAAAGAAAAAUGGCCCCGCCACUAGGUUUUUCAUGGCCAUACACAUGGCACGUCCAAUGGGAGUGUUACACGUGUCAAUUAACGGCCACCUAGUCAAAAUUAACGGCAAAGGAUGGACGGAAGGGUAAGGGCGUGCUAGAUGUGAGACAAUUUUGAAACGUUGUGCUCUUUUAGAAAAAAUUUAAAGCACGUGCUAAAUUAGGGAACUUGUCAAUUGUAUGUGCUUUUUUAGGUUAUUUACUAUUUUUUAAUUAUAUGAAUCUAUUAAUUCUUUCUCAUCACAUUAUUAUAAAAUAAAAUUAUUUAAAAUUUUUCCC